rnacentral:rRNA from 1 species
UUGCCAGCCCGCUACAGAAACUUAAAGGAAUUGACGGGGGCCCGCACAAGCGGUGGAGCAUGUGGUUAAUUCGAUGAUACGCGAGGAACCUUACCUGGGCUCAAAUGUAUGUUGACGUAUUCUGAAAGGGAUACUUCUUCGGACAAUAUACAAGGUGCUGCAUGGUUGUCGUCAGCUCGUGCCGUGAGGUGUCGGGUUAAGUCCCAUAACGAGCGCAACCCCUAUCAUUAGUUGCCAUCAGGUUAAGCUGGGGACUCUAAAGGAACUGCCUACGCAAGUAGUGAGGAAGGCGGGGAUGACGUCAAAUCAGCACGGCCCUUACGUCCAGGGCUACACACGUGCUACAAUGGCCGAUACAGAGGGCAGCUACCUGGUGACAGGAUGCAAAUCUCCAAAGUCGGUCUCAGUUCGGAUCGGAGUCUGCAACCCGACUCCGUGAAGUUGGAUUCGCUAGUAAUCGCGCAUCAGCCAUGGCGCGGUGAAUACGUUCCCGGGCCUU